ACAAAAUUCUCAUUUCAACAGUACAAUGACAAGAGCUAAAGAAAUCCAAGUGUAAUGUGUUAGGAAAUGACACCAGAAAUCAUGUAAUAUAAACAGUCUAAAAAAAGAAAACUGCAAUUACAGCUGCAAAGUGCAAAUCAUCACCUCCCAGAAUUCCUGAUCUCACCCGCGUUUUUCAUUAACUUUAGGGCUGGACAAAUCCCAGGAGCCAGGUGCCAACG